rnacentral:rRNA from 1 species
GAUGAACGCUGGCGGCGUGCCUAAUACAUGCAAGUCGAGCGAACAGAUGAGGAGCUUGCUCCUCUGACAUUAGCGGCGGACGGGUGAGUAACACGUGGAUAACCUACCUAUAAGACUGGGAUAACUUCGGGAAACCGGAGCUAAUACCGGAUAAUAUAUUGAACCGCAUGGUUCAAUAGUGAAAGACGGUUUUGCUGUCACUUAUAGAUGGAUCCGCGCCGCAUUAGCUAGUUGGUAAGGUAACGGCUUACCAAGGCAACGAUGCGUAGCCGACCUGAGAGGGUGAUCCGCCAACCUGGCACUGAGAAACGGUCCAGUCUCCGACGGGAGGCAGCAGUAGGAAAUCCUCCGCAAUGCUCGAAAGCCUGACGUAGCAACGCCGCGUGACUGAUGAAGGUCUUCGGAUCGUAAAACUCUGUUAUUAGGGAAGAACAAAUGUGUAAGUAACUAUGCCCGUCUUGACGGUGCCUACUCAGAAAGCCACGGCUAACUACGUG